GAUGAACGCUGGCGGCGUGCCUAAUACAUGCAAGUCGAGCGAACAGACGAGGAGCUUGCUCCUUUGACGUUAGCGGCGGACGGGUGAGUAACACGUGGGUAACCUACCUAUAAGACUGGGAUAACUUCGGGAAACCGGAGCUAAUACCGGAUAAUAUUUCGAACCGCAUGGUUCGAUAGUGAAAGAUGGCUUUGCUAUCACUUAUAGAUGGACCUGCGCCGUAUUAGCUAGUUGGUAAGGUAACGGCUUACCAAGGCAACGAUACGUAGCCGACCUGAGAGGGUGAUCGGCCACACUGGAACUGAGACACGGUCCAGACUCCUACGGGAGGCAGCAGUAGGGAAUCUUCCGCAAUGGGCGAAAGCCUGACGGAGCAACGCCGCGUGAGUGAUGAAGGUCUUCGGAUCGUAAAACUCUGUUAUUAGGGAAGAACAAACGUGUAACUGUGCACGUCUUGACGGUACCUAAUCAGAAAGCCACGGCUAACUACGUG
rnacentral:rRNA from 1 species